GCCCGGGCGAUCCUCGGUGGUCCGGGGUGCAGGCUUCAAACCUGUAGCCGUCUAGCGACGGAGUGGUUCGAUUCCACCGUCUGGGU
rnacentral:tRNA from 1 species